rnacentral:rRNA from 1 species
GACGAACGCUGGCGGCGUGCCUAACACAUGCAAGUCGAGCGAAUGAGGUUCCUUCGGGACUGGAUUUAGCGGCGGACGGGUGAGUAACACGUGGGCAACCUGCCUCAUAGAGGGGAAUAGCCUCCCGAAAGGGAGAUUAAUACCGCAUAAGAUUGUAGUACCGCAUGAUACAGCAAUUAAAGGAGCAAUCCGCUAUGAGAUGGGCCCGCGGCGCAUUAGCUAGUUGGUGAGGUAAUGGCUCACCAAGGCGACGAUGCGUAGCCGACCUGAGAGGGUGAUCGGCCACAUUGGGACUGAGACACGGCCCAGACUCCUACGGGAGGCAGCAGUGGGGAAUAUUGCACAAUGGGGGAAACCCUGAUGCAGCAACGCCGCGUGAGUGAUGACGGCCUUCGGGUUGUAAAGCUCUGUCUUCAGGGACGAUAAUGACGGUACCUGAGGAGGAAGCCACGGCUAACUACGUG